AGAAAGGGAUGAUUCAUUUUUAUGAUAAAAAAAUACAUCCAUUUCAAUUUUUUCGCAAGAAGAAAAAGAAAAAACAGGGGAUCCGUUGAAUUCCAAGUAGUUAGUUUCACCAAUAAACU